rnacentral:rRNA from 1 species
GACGAACGCUGGCGGCGUGCCUAAUACAUGCAAGUCGAACGCUUUUUCUUUCACCGGAGCUUGCUCCACCGAAAGAAAAAGAGUGGCGAACGGGUGAGUAACACGUGGGUAACCUGCCCAUCAGAAGGGGAUAACACUGGAAACAGGUGCUAAUACCGUAUAACACUAUUUUCCGCAUGGAAGAAAGUUGAAAGGCGCUUUUGCGUCACUGAUGGAUGGACCCGCGGUGCAUUAGCUAGUUGGUGAGGUAACGGCUCACCAAGGCAACGAUGCAUAGCCGACCUGAGAGGGUGAUCGGCCACACUGGGACUGAGACACGGCCCAGACUCCUACGGGAGGUAGCAGUAGGGAAUCUUCGGCAAUGGACGAAAGUCUGACCGAGCAACGCCGCGUGAGUGAAGAAGGUUUUCGGAUCGUAAAACUCUGUUGUUAGAGAAGAACAAGGAUGAGAGUAAAACGUUCAUCCCUUGACGGUAUCUAACCAGAAAGCCACGGCUAACUACGUGCCAGCAGCCGCGGUAA